GAAAAGGCUUUGAAAAUUUCUGGAAUCAGUACCCCUGGGAAGAUGAUUUGAAGUGUGCAACGCAUGUCUGAGAGCAGGUUGAUGUCACGUUGGAAGUUGUGCAUUUAUCAGAUGAAUACUGGGAUAGAGUUGCUUCUUACAUUAUUGAGGAGUACCGUUGUGGGCAUACACCUAAGCUGGAUGUUCUGUGAGAUACUAGAAUCAAGUUCGG